rnacentral:tmRNA from 1 species
GGGGGCGUAAAGGUUUCGACGUGGGUUUGGAACUUGGGGCUGCGUGUCGUGUUACUCUGGGUCACGUAAAAACUGGGGAAUUAAAAAUAAACGCAAACGAUAAUUACGCUUUAGCAGCUUAAUGACUGCUCGUCCCGCCUAAGCCCUCCUGCCGGCUAGGCCUGGACGUCAUCUAUGCAGGGUACUACUUUUGGGGUGUCUCGACCAAAAGCGGACUAACUGGGACUGGCCAAUCACAUAGCCUGCCGCUUGGCGAUGUGAAAGGCGAGAUACUAAGUAAAGUUGGCUACACACGUAGAUGCAACGAGGAAAAGACUUACGGACAGGGGUUCGACUCCCCUCGUCUCCACCA